rnacentral:rRNA from 1 species
UACGUAUGGGGCGAGCGUUGUUCGGAGUUAUUGGGCGUAAAGGGCGUGUAGGCGGCUCAUCGCGUCUGGUGUGAAAUCGGCAGGCUCAACCUGUCGUAUGCGCUGGAAACGGGUGGGCUGGAGUUCCUGAGGGGAAGCUGGAAUUCCAGGUGUAGGGGUGAAAUCUGUAGAUAUCUGGAAGAACACCGGUGGCGAAGGCGAGCUUCUAUCAGAGGACUGACGCUGAGGCGCGAAAGCGUGGGGAGCAAAC